CCUACGGGUGGCAGCAGUGGGGGAUAUUGCACAAUGGGGGAAACCCUGAUGCAGCAACGCCGCGUGGGUGAUGACGCCCCUCGGCUCGUAAAGCCCUGUCUUCAGGGACGAAAAUGACGGUACCUGAAGAGGAAGCCACGGCUAACUACGUGCCAGCAGCCGCGGUAAUACGUAGGUGGCGAGCGUUGUCCGGAUUUACUGGGCGUAAAGGGAGCGUAGGCGGACUUUUAAGUGAGAUGUGAAAUACCCGGGCUCAACUCGGGGGCUGCAUUUCAAACUGGAAGUCUAGAGUGCAGGAGAGGAGAACGGAAUUCCUAGUGUAGCGGUGAAAUGCGUAGAGAUUAGGAAGAACACCAGUGGCGAAGGCGAUUCUCUGGACUGUAACUGACGCUGAGGCUCGAAAGCGUGGGGAGCAAACAGGAUUAGAUACCCUUGUAGUC
rnacentral:rRNA from 1 species